UUCUUCUUCUUCUUCUUCCUCACACUCUCUGCCAUCAUUCGCUAACACGUUGUCUCAAAUUGUCUCCUUCCCCUCUGCAAAAUAUACACAACAUCUCUUUGCCGCCUCCUUUCUUCAGCUCCAGCGUUUAUUCUAGCUGUUUCAGAUCUCUACUGCAGCUGGGUGUUUUGAAGAAAAUGACAGUGAGAAAUGAGAUACAUGUGCAAACCACGUCUUGUGUGACUAUAUCUUGGUCUAGCGCUACUUGCUUCAAUAAUAGCCCAAGUCAAUGGCCAGAUGGUGUCUCUCACGAUAAUUGAUCAAGCACAAGAAAAGCUUGCACUUUGUAUAGAUGGGACUUCAGGAGGUUAACAUUUUGAUCUAGGAUUUGGCGAUGGAGCUAAUAAUUGGAUGAUCAUGUUAAUGGGUGGAGGAUGAUGUAGUCGUAAUUUGUGGUGUUAUAGAAUUGGGAAAUUUCUUGAUAGUGCAACUAAUAUCCUACUUCAAUAUUUUGAAGGAAUUUUAUCUUCGGAUCAAUCAA